GACGUAGGGCGCAAGCGUUGUCCGGAUUUAUUGGGCGUAAAGAGCUCGUAGGCGGCUAGUUGCGUCGACUGUGAAAUCCCCAGGCUUAACCUGGGAACUGCAUCCGAUACUGGAUGGCUUGAAUCCGGGAGAGGGAUGCAGAAUUCCCGGUGUAGCGGUGAAAUGCGUAGAGAUCGGGAGGAACACCAGUGGCGAAGGCGGCCAUCUGGAUCAACACUGACGCUGAGGCACGAAAGCGUGGGGAGCAAACAGG
rnacentral:rRNA from 1 species